UUACGCCUAUUGUUGGCAACAUUUUCUUCAAACGGGUUGGACUUUAGCUUUUGGGAGAAUUGUGGAAAAUAACUCGCCGGAAAACUCGUCGGAAAUCUGCAACUCGCCGGAAAUCUCGCCAAACGCUUCAAAAACUUGAAGGACGUAUCCCGUGCUUGAAGGACGCAUCCCGUAGCCACGUGUCCAUUUUUUAUUGGGUUUUGCUCUAAGGACGCAUCCCGCGCAUAAUGUGCCGCUCCAAGGACGCAGGAGCGUGACAAAUUUGAAAACAUCUUCGGUCAACCGACAUUUUCUUAUUCAGGAAGCUCACACGAGAUGGAGGUACUAUGCUCAGAAGGUUCAUAAUUUCCUCCCUUAAUCGACCUUUCUUCCGGAACAAAUGUUAUUAUUAGUGCCUAAUGAAGUUUUCUGGAUGAGGAAAUAUCACCUGCUGCUAUACCUCAAUCUACAAAAAUCCUUGUUAAUGGUAGUUGGGUAGGGAUCCACGGCAAUCCCCCCGAGCUCUUGGUGAGGACCCUGAGACGACAUGUGUUGAUGUAAACACUCAAGUUGGAGUGAUAAGAGACAUUCGUUUAAAAAAAGAAAGCAUUGAGAGUUAUUGCAGAGCACUUGUCUACUAAAGAAGUAGAAGUGAUUAAAGAUAUGUUUACAUUGAUGGUGAUGGGAAAGUUACAUUUGAUGAAGUAUUAAAGAAAGUCGGUUCACAAUUGUCUUAACCUGAGAUCUGACUGCUCAUGGAUGUGGUGAUGCUAAAAGAUUGUGAAUGCUAAAAUUCUACCAUUUGUUCAUUCAUUAGGCUGAUGUUGAUGGCAAUGGCGUACAGUGUACCCGAGUGUGGAGAGUUUGUACUUUGUGGCAGUGACAAUUCAUUUGCAGAUGAGCAUCUACACAAAGCGUUUAUGUUUUUUUUUUUUAUGAAGAUGGAAGCGGUUAUAUUGAGCUUGAUGAGCUAGAACAAGUGCUGUAUGAACCUGGUCAUGCAGACAUGCGAGUACUCAAUGAAAGCAUGAAACAAAGAAGUUGAUACAGUCGACAAGGAUGGUCAAAUCAGUUUCAAGGAAUUUUCAUCUUCGGGAACAAAUUGGAGGAAGGCAUCACGACAAUAUUCGAAAGAUCGAUCAGGGAGGAAAAUGACUAUUUUUAAACUAUUGGAGCAAAACCGUCAAAAUGACCAAACCACGGGGAGCAAAACGAAUGUUAACUCUUUUAAAGACUUUGUGAUCGAGUUUUCCGUGUUUGUUUUUAUGCACAAGUGGGUAUAAAUUCAAGUUGAUUUACGUUUCAACGUAAAAAUUUCCACGAAAAUUAGUCGGGUCAAAUAUAAUAUGUUCUUAUGGUUAUCAUUAUAUACGUUUUCGGUUUGCCUACGUUUUGACAUAAUUUUUUUUCCGGAAAUGAGUCGGGUCAAAUAUAAUACGUUUCCGUGCUUAUUUUUAUGUACACUUUUAAUUGGUUUAUGUUUUGACGUUGAUUUUUUCCAGAGCACCGUGCCAACGCAUGAGGCAAUUUACUACU
rnacentral:lncRNA from 1 species